rnacentral:rRNA from 1 species
CCUUUGUACACACCGCCCGUCGCUACUACCGAUUGAAUGGCUUAGUGAGGCUUUCGAAUUGGAUUUCGGCAGCUGGCAACAGCAGUUGAGAACUGAGAAGUUAUCCAAACUUGGUCAUUUAGAGG